AUGUAUGUGCUCGGUAACGCAACGCUGUUCACCAUGUUGGAUUGCAGCCGCGGAUUCUUUCACAUCGAGGUGCAUCCGUUAGACGUGCAGAAAACCGCUUUCAUUUGCCACAGAGGGCUGUACAAGUUCACCCACUUGCCUUUUGGCUUGUCCAUCUCGCCAGGGAGCUUUCAGCGUUUGAUGGACGUUGUGCUCGGAAAUGCAAAGUAUGAAUUCGCGAUGGCAUACAUGGGUGACAUUGUUUUCUCGCGUACAUUUGAGGAGCAUCUCAAACACUUGACUAUCGUGCUUGAGUUGAUGCGGAACGCGGGCCUAACAAUCAAUCCGGGAAGGUUCAAUUGGCCGAGCCCAAAAUUAACCGUCUCGGAUUUGUUGUCGAUAGCGGCACGCUCCGUCCCAACAAAGAAAAACUGCGCGCACUAAAUGAGUACCCAAGCCCCCAUGACAUGAAAAGUUUACAGCGAUAUCUCGAAAUGAUUGCAUUCUAUAUGGAUUUCAUUCUUUACUGCUCAGAGAUUUCUCAGCUGCUUAACUCCUUCGAAAAUGCAUCGAAUGGUGUUGGAGCAAACAGCCACAAAGCGCAUUCAUAGCCUUUUCAAAGUCAGUGACAGAAAACGCAUGUCUGCACCUUCCCGACCUAAACCAAGCAUUCGUUUUGCAGACAGAUGCAAGCGAUUGCGGCGUCGGAGCUAUUCUACUGCAGGAACAUGACGGUAUACUUCGCCCGGUUGCUUUCGCAAGUAAGACCCUCAAUUCCACACAGCGUAACAACAGUGUCGCAGAGAGAGAAUGCUUAGCCAUAGUGUAUGCGUUAAAGCGAUUUGACAUGUAUUUAGAUGGCGGCAACAUUCCAAAUUCAAUAUGAUCAUUUAGCGCUGUCAUGGCUGAUAAGACUUUAGAACCCCGCUGGUCGCCUCGCUCGUUGGGCACUUGCGCUACAACAAUACGAUUACACUAUUGUGUAAAAAUUGGGUGCUACAAACCAAAUUGCUGAUGCACUUUCCCGCGCCCCCCUUCCUGAGGACCACGUGCAGGAAGUUCCAGGUCUGGUUGCAGUCGUUAAUACAACAUAGGAACCACCUGAGUCACGGUGGGGAACAUUGCUCUCAAGAGAGGAUCUUCUCAAGGGCUCAGCACAACGAUGGGCUGUGCCAACAAGUGACUGCCUGGCUGGCAGCGUCCAGCCCAGUCAACACCAAGGAGCCCAGGGCACAGGACCGCAACUACACAAAGUUUGCAGACGACCUGCGAAAGCGUUUCACUAUCAACCUCAAGGAAGCCCGGGAGAACCCCGACGUUGCCAGACUGCAGCUAUCCGACCAGUACAACCAGGGAUGCCGAGACCUGCAGUUCGAGGUGGGAGACUUGGUGCUCAGGUGCACUUGCCCCCCGAAUGAAGCGGCAAAAGGCUUCACGGACUCAAUGGCCAACAGAUAGAUCACGGGCAAUGCCACCUCCAAUCCUGGGCAUCUGGACGCCAGGGUCCCAGGACACGUGGCGGUCCCAGUCACCGAGGGCGGCAACCGACAAGGCCCAUCCCACGGAACCACGGCCAGUGGGCAGGACGGCCCAGAGACACCGGAAACAGCCGCUACCGUGCUCAGUGGUCGCUACACAGUUUGGAGUCCUGCCCUGGGGGCCUGGAUGGUAUCCCAAGACCUGAUGUCUGUUCCUGCAUGGACACUACCAGAGCAACAUUACCCAGCAAUCGAUCCCCUGCCACAAGUUUUGCUACGUCUUUCAAAGACAUGGACUUAGUCUGUGCCAACAGUUUUGGUGGAAAGAAGACUUUCAGUGCCCAAGGAGCACGGGGACUCCAGCACUGCUGUGACAAGGUGCUACAUGGUUUUAGCAGCUUUGCCUCUUCUGUGGCUCCACCGUUUUUCUUCAGUUGCUCAAGAAACCUUAGCCUCUUGGACCACCUUUCAAACUGGGUAGUGUUGGCCACAUUGCAACAUAUCUAUGGCUCAGCAUUAUCUUCACCUGGUGGGGUUAACGUGGAAUGUCGGGCUUGCCAGUUCUUUUUAUUUUGGUUGACCCUGAUUGGUUA
rnacentral:lncRNA from 1 species